GGCUCCAUAGUGUAGUGGUUAGUAUGCCUGUUUCACACGCAGAAGGUUCUAGGUUCAUGCCCCAAGUAGAGCCA
rnacentral:tRNA from 1 species